AGUGGGGAAUAUUGCACAAUGGGCGCAAGCCUGAUGCAGCGACGCCGCGUGGGGGAUGACGGCCUUCGGGUUGUAAACCUCUUUCAGCUCUGACGAAGCGCAAGUGACGGUAGGAGCAGAAGAAGGACCGGCCAACUACGUGCCAGCAGCCGCGGUAAUACGUAGGGUCCGAGCGUUGUCCGGAAUUACUGGGCGUAAAGAGCUCGUAGGUGGUUUGUCGCGUUGUUCGUGAAAUCUCACAACUCAAUUGUGAGCGUGCGGGCGAUACGGGCAGACUGGAGUACUGCAGGGGAGACUGGAAUUCCUGGUGUAGCGGUGGAAUGCGCAGAUAUCAGGAGGAACACCGGUGGCGAAGGCGGGUCUCUGGGCAGUAACUGACGCUGAGGAGCGAAAGCGUGGGGAGCGAA
rnacentral:rRNA from 1 species